rnacentral:pre_miRNA from 1 species
AGUGUGAUUGCUGGAUCAUAUGGUCAGAGUAUGUUUAGUUUUCUAAGAAACCACUAAACUUUCUUCCAAAGUGGCUGUACCAUUUUGCAUUUCCACUAGCAAC